UUGGUUCUACUCCUACUUCUACCCCUGGCCCUACAUAGUUCUGGCCCCACUCCUGGUCCUGCUCUUAGUUCUACUCUUGGCCCUAUUCCUGCCCUACUUCUGGCCCCCGCAUCUCCUGGGCUGUCCUUGCCUGUCUUAGUUCUACCUC
rnacentral:lncRNA from 1 species